rfam:Anas platyrhynchos breed Pekin duck contig35765, whole genome shotgun sequence.
UAUGCUCUGCUCUGGCUGGUCAAACGGAACCAAGCCCGUCUUCCUCGGAGGUUUGGUCCCCUUCAACCAGCUAUAGCAGUGUUGAAAA